rnacentral:ncRNA from 1 species
GAGUGUGUUUGAUCUCAGCUUAAAUCUUUUGCUUUAUUAUUAAAAUUGCAUGAAAGUCUUGGCGUAAGAAGGUUACGUUUGGUUUUAAAAAUCAAAGUAAUUGAAAAGUUAGUUUGUAUAAUAAUAAAUUUCUUGGUCUCAGCAUAAAUUAUUAUGAAUUUAUAUACGAUAGUAUGAAAUAGUAAAAAUAAAGAACCUGAUGAAUAUUUGUGCCAGCAUUCGCGGUUAUACUUUAAGGUUAAGUGAAAGGUUAUUGGUUAUUAAUUAGACGAAAAACAAAUAAUUAAAAUAAUAUAUUGAUAACAAAAGGUAAAAUUGGAUUGUUGUGUUAUAUAAAAAGAAAUUUAAGUUAAAGUUAAAAAAAUGAGAAAUUAAAACUAGGAUUAGAUACCCUACUAUUCUGAUAGAAUAUAAAAGGCCUAAGUAGUAUUAGAUAAAUACUUAAAAUUUAAAAGAUUUGGCGGUAAUUUAAUCUCCCCAGAGGAACCUGUUCUUUAAUCGAUAAAACACGUUAAAUCUCACUCAUCUUUGUUUUCAGUUUGUAUACCGUCAUUAACAGUUAGUCAUUAAAGGGAGUUAAUAAACAUAAGUUAUUUAUAAAUAAAUUAGAUCAAGGUGCAGCUUAUAGAUGAGAUAGGAUGGGUUACAAUAAAUUACUAUAAAACGGAGUAACAAAGGAAGAGUUUGUUAUUAAGGUGGAUUUGGUUGUAUUAAAAACUAAAGAGUUUAAGGGAAAUGAGCACUAAAUUAUGUACAUAUCGCCCGUCGCUUUCAUUUAAAAGUGAAAUAAGUCGUAACAAAGUAGAUGUACUGGAAAGUGUAUCUGGAACAAU